ensembl:lncRNA
CAAAAUCUCUCCGACAGAAUGAUCUGCUUUUAGACGCUUUUUUUUGUCUGAUUAUAAGAUGUAACAUACACAACAAGCUGUUUACAGACAGAAACACCAUCAUAUAAAGCACAUAAAUUUAGAAUAAAAUAAAAUGCUUUUAAUAUACAAUAUACAAAACAACUUCUAGUUCAGUGAUCAUUGAAAAAUUUUGGAAUAAAUAGUAUCUGGUUUUGUUUUAAUUAUUUGUUUAAUAUCUCUGGUCCAGCAAAUGGUACAAUAACACAUGUGAAAUUAAAUCAAAGCUUAAAGUUGUGUGAAUAAAUAAAUAAAUCCAUUGUCAAAAAAUAGUUUUAAAAGAGGAAAGCACCAAAGUGAAAAAAAAGAAAGAAAAAAAAAGUGGUGUGAUAUUUGUGGGCGUGGGUUGUUCAUCCGUCUUGCCAGCGCUAUGUGAGUUGGGGGAUUCGCGUUGAUGAUAGAUAAGAAGAUCAGAGUUUGUUCGGUUAGGUUUUACAGCAACAUCAAGUUGUUUUACAAUAUGAUGCUCUUCGCUGUAGUAACGUGUUGGAUUGGCAUUACUGCUGGUGCUGCGGUGGAGUCGCUAACGGUGUCUGAGGGGGGAAACCUGACCAUCUCUAUUCACAUUGAGAAGUGGGACAGAGACCCUCAGGUUUUGGUGACCCUUCUCAAAGGCUCCUCGCAGGAACCGAUAGCUCAGGUGAUUUGUCAUAACGGAGCCUGUGAACAAAAGAGCUGGAGAUCUGGAGUUUCUCUCAUAUCUGUUGGACAAAAUAUGACUCUGAUCCUGAUGAACAUCAGCUACAAUCAAACAGGACUUUACAAGAUCUACAAACUGAGCAGCAAACUGCCCGAAAACAAGAUUUACAACGUUGCCGUGUAUCAGCCUCCACUCAGGACCAUCAGCCCAGAACAACCAGCAUCUGCUGUGUACAGUGAAUCAUUCACUGCAGGAAUAAGCUCAGCUGCAGUGCUCCUCGCUUUAGUGCUCAUCAUUGCUGCUGUCGUUGGUGUCAUUUAUAGGAAACACAGGAAGACAACUUUUGACAAAGUGCCACAAGAGACAGACACUGAAGCCAGCAUGUGACAUAAAUGAUCAUGCCACGUACUUAUAAUUACUGUAUUAUUGCAAGCUCAUCCAGUGCAGGACUUAGCUGAAUGGAAUAAGAAGGCUCGACUAUAAGGAAUCAAAUGGUCGUUUCACUCACUGAGGAGUUUUACCACUGGUGCUGUUUUCUCAAGAGAUUCCAGGUGAAUCUGCUGGCUUUGAGCGGCAGCUACUGGCACUACAGCUGUUAAUUAUAAUGAUGAUUAUGUAUCUUUGAACUCCACAAGAUCUUAGGGUGUCCCGCUUGUCAGUGUAUUUAUUUAUUUAAUUAUUUUUUGGCAUAAUAAUUAUGGCUCCAAGCACUUAAGAUUGCCCACUAGAUGGAGCCAAUGGUUUAGAAAUCAUGUUUAAUCUAAUAGUUUAAUAGUCUAAUAGCCGUCAGUAUGAUUGGCUAACCAAUGCUUUUAUUUGUAGCACCAUUGUACACUAAAAAUACCUCCUUUGUUUUAUAUAAUUAAUUUCCAAAGAAAAAGCACACUUAUUUCAUUUUGGCAUAUAAAGGCAUAUAAAUUGGUAGCUGAACUAUUUAUUAGUUUUUAAGGAUUCAUACAGUUAAAUUCAGUUUAAGUUUAUUUGUAUAGUGCUUUUCAUGAUGCAAAUCGUUGCAAAGCAGAUUUACAGAAAAUUUAAAUGUUUCUACAUUAUAUUUAUAGAAGCUUAUCAGUGUUGACCAUCUCAUGUUGAUGUCCGUAUGGCAGAAAUGUAAGGUAAAAAUCAAGCAGUUAGUUAAUGUCCUGUAAUCAAACAGAUGAACACUAUUGACAGCAAUGAUUAUAUGUUGAGAUCAAACUUAUAGCAAAAUUUGGUAGUUUUGUAUGUUGUCUGAGGGGUUGGCAUCAUCUCUUCUUGAGUGUUUCGGUCAUCUUAGGUCUUUGUAAGGACUGGAUCCAGACUGAAGUUUGUGUAAUUCCUUGUUACCACGGAAACAAAGAAGGAAAUAGAUAAAAAUUAGCGUACCUGCUUUUCCAACUAAGCAAAAAAUUAUGUAUUCAACCCAAGCAGAAGAAUGAAAAUGUGCAUUUGAUCAACUGUAACUGAAGUACAAGGUAAUUAGAUAUAUUAUUUGAAUGCUUGGCUAAAGCGACGUGUCUUUAAUCUAGAUUUAAACAGAGAGAGUGUGUCUGAACCCCAAACAUUAUCAGGAAGGCUAUUCCAGAGUUUGGGAGCCAAAUGUGAAAAAGCUCUACCUCCUUUAUUGGACUUUGCAAUCCUAGGAACUACCAAAUGUUGCGUGAUGGAUUGUACUGUAGUAGAAGUUAGGUACGCAGGAGCUAAACUAUUUUUAGGGCCUUAAAAGUAAGUAAUAUUUUGUAACUGAUACUGAACUUAAUAGGCAGCCAGUGCAGAGACUGUAGAAUAUGGGUAAUAUGAUCAUAUUUUUAGACCUGGUAAGCACUUUACAUAUACUGUAGCACAUUCUCUUGUCAUUUACUUGUCAUAAACAAUGACAGCGAUUAUUGUAGCUUCUGUGAUCUCUGAGAAGUAAGCUAGAUUAAGUAAGCUAGAUAGAUAUAUUAGAUUUAAACAUUCAGUUCAGUCUAACAUGAAGGGUGAGCGAUUUCCAUGUGAAAAUCAGCUGCUGAUUUUGGGAUCAUGUGUGUGAUCGUGUGAUUUGUUGAUGUUUCUUCAAACCCUAACUUGAAGUGGAGAUUCAAGAUUGUUUUAUCUGAAAAGCAAUUUUAUGACUUAAUCAUUAAUAUAAGCUAUUUUGGGCCAAAAUAAUUGCCACUUGAGACUUUAUUUGUUGUUAUUGUGUAAAUUGUGAGUAGCGUGUUAAGAUAUUUUAUUGUCUGUGCAUUCUGUUGAUGAUUUGCAUUGUAUUUAUUUUAUUUAAAAGAUAUCCAAGUGUUACUCAAGGAUGUACAUUUUGUUAAAAGUCUCUGAAUACAGGCAUUUACAACUGUGUAUUUCUUACAAUCUGCAUACAACAAAUACAACAUACAACAAAAUGUCUUCAGAUUAAAACUGGUUAUGCAGAGUUGACAGUUGAAUGGACUGGAAGAUGGAAGCAGAACCAAAACAGUUGAAAGAUAAAAAAAAAAAAGAUUAAAUAAAAACAUUUUUAUGACCUUAAAUGCUUUCCUC